GAUGAACGCUGGCGGCGUGCUUAACACAUGCAAGUCGAACGGGAAUUACUUUAUUGAAACUUCGGUCGAUUUAAUUUAAUUCUAGUGGCGGACGGGUGAGUAACGCGUGGGUAACCUGCCUUAUACAGGGGGAUAACAGUCAGAAAUGACUGCUAAUACCGCAUAAGCGCACAGAGCUGCAUGGCUCAGUGUGAAAAACUCCGGUGGUAUAAGAUGGACCCGCGUUGGAUUAGCUAGUUGGUGAGGUAACGGCCCACCAAGGCGACGAUCCAUAGCCGGCCUGAGAGGGUGAACGGCCACAUUGGGACUGAGACACGGCCCAGACUCCUACGGGAGGCAGCAGUGGGGAAUAUUGCACAAUGGGGGAAACCCUGAUGCAGCGACGCCGCGUGAAGGAAGAAGUAUCUCGGUAUGUAAACUUCUAUCAGCAGGGAAGAAAAUGACGGUAC
rnacentral:rRNA from 1 species